UUUUAGUCCCGGCAGGCCAAUUAUCUGAAACCACAACCUCCGCUUGAGGUUCUGCCGGGAGAUAAAAAAAAAAAACAAAAAAUAAAAAAUCUCAACGGCUUUGAUCGCAGCAUUUACAAAAUAUUCAAAAUGGCAGCAGCGUUUUUGAUUCUUGGCGGCUUCUUUUUAUCGUUAUUAGCUAUAGUGGCUCCACAGGUUGGAGCCCAUGUGGCUGUCUUUGAUAGCUACUGGAUGCAACGUAAAAGCGAUGCAUUGAAACAAACAUUUGGUUCUUACGAUCCUAAUCCACUUAACGUUACCAACCACUUUAAUUACCAUGUCAAUUUAGCUGUGGAUGCCACGGAAUCAAUAAACGAUACAAGGAGAGAGCUUACACAGGUCAGAAGUCGUCGAAAAUUGCAAAAACACGGCGGAAAAUGCGUAGCUUAUAACCCCAUAGACAAAUGCUGGCGAUGCGACCGUAACUGGGCAAAUAACCGGAAGAAACUAGCGGAUUGUGCUCUCGGAUUCGGCCGGAAAACCACAGGAGGAAAAGACGGACCGAUCUACGUUGUCACAUUACGCAUUGACAAUAAUCAAAUUUAUGGAAUAGAGAGCAAACUAAGGAAAAUAACACAGAGUUGAUGGAAGAAGCAAUAAGAUCACAUUUAUGCAUUGACAAUAAGCAAAGUUUAUUGAAUAGAGAACAAACUCGGGAAAUAACAGACAGGAAAUCGGAAGGAAUAUUCCCAAAAAAGCUUCAGAAAUCCCUUCAGUAACCGGAUCCUCUGAUUUGGUUUUGGGGUCAAGUGUCAGUGUUCGAAGAGACACAUGAUCACUAAACAGCAACUUCUUCUUAUUCUUGUUCUCUCCAUUAAAAAGUGCUAGUGGAUGGAGCACCCAUCGUGUUGAGACAUCAAAGAACAUUGCACAUAUAUGCAGAUCUAUGGAACAAAUUUUGUCCUAAGUCUUGUUGCUUGAACUGAACGACCAUAUCACUUGGUAGGCCUUAUUAAUCUGGUAUAGGGAUAUGCACAAGCGGUUGUCAAGGUUGCACAUGACGAUCUCGCAAGGAUUGGAAUUGGCAAAGGGAGCUUUAGAGAUGACUUGAAAAGCUUCGGUGUGGAGAUCGAAAGAUACAACUUUGGUUUCUUCGCACUCUGUGAACCAAUGAAGCGACCCAUGCAGCCACUUAAAUUACCAUGUCAAUUUAGCUGUGGAUGCCUCGGAAUCUAAUACAAGGCGAGAGCUUAUACCCAUGUGAGAAGUUGUCCCAAAAAGCAAAUUUUUAUUGAGAUAUCACAUUGUGCAUUGAAAAAUAUAUAGAGUUUUACAGAUGAAAAAAAUAUGAAGUCUUAUAUAUCUAAAAAAAAUAGAAAAAAUAGUUAUAUUAACUAGUAAUUUAGUUAUUAGAUUCAAUGGAUAAUGUAGUAAAGAGGUAAAUUGUGGCUGUCAAGCUGGCUAAACCGCGGGCCAACUAAAGCCUAGUUGCUUGCUUAAGUAUUUAACCUAGUUCUUAGAGACGGUUUUAUAUUUCUACGGGUCCAUUGUGUAUACCACGUUUCUGUACGCUUUAUUGAGAUAUUGAAAGGUUUUUUUUUUUAAAUGUUU